AAUAUCCUUUAGGCAUGAAAGAGAAAUAAAGACUUUUACAGAAACAAAAGCCAAGGGAUUUCAUCAACACCAUACCUGUCCUACAAAAAAUUCUAAAGGGAGUUAUUUAAUCUGAAAGAAAAGAAUAUAAAUGAGAAAUAAGAAA